GAUGAACGCUGGCGGCGUGCUUAACACAUGCAAGUCGAACGGAAAGGCCCAAGCUUGCUUGGGUACUCGAGUGGCGAACGGGUGAGUAACACGUGGGUGAUCUGCCCUGCACUUCGGGAUAAGCCUGGGAAACUGGGUCUAAUACCGGAUAGGACCACAUUUUGGAUGGUGUGGUGGAAAGUUUUUCGGUGUGGGAUGAGCUCGCGGCCUAUCAGCUUGUUGGUGGGGUAAUGGCCUACCAAGGCGUCGACGGGUAGCCGGCCUGAGAGGGUGUACGGCCACAUUGGGACUGAGAUACGGCCCAGACUCCUACGGGAGGCAGCAGUGGGGAAUAUUGCACAAUGGGCGCAAGCCUGAUGCGGCGACGCCGCGUGGGGGAUGACGGCCUUCGGGUUGUAAACUCCUUUCGCUAGGGACGAAGCGCAAGUGACGGUACCUGGAGAAGAAGCACCGGCUAACUACGUG
rnacentral:rRNA from 1 species